GUGUGUUGCCAGGAGACAGACCAGUGAGCAUCAGCCGAGAGCCUAGCUGAUGAGUUUCUUUUCUUGACUGACAGCAUCGUGAAUUUUUAAGUCUCCCGUGCUGAUGCUUAAAUGUAAUUGCCUGAUUGUUUCAUACCAAAUCCCAGCUCCCGCUCUGCGAAUUCAGAGCAAGAGCACUCAUUGUCUGUGUUCUCGCAGUUGGUAUGCUGUGCCGGGUCUGAGGCAGGCGGUGGAACAGAGAGUGGGGCCUGUCCCUUCACUGUCCAUAGCUACGUGGCAGCAGCCAUUGUUCUGUCCAGGGGCAAGGUGGGCUUGAGCUUGGUGUUGCUGGAUGCCCACUGAGUUAUCUUGCUUCCUACCCUGAUCAUCUGUCACUUAAUGUUCUUGCCCUGCGUGAUGGUGUUUUUGUGCGCAGUGUAGAGGGAGAGUAGAGUGCUGGGUCACCGUCCAAGGACAUCAGAGUGUGGUGAAUUCAGAGAGCUGAUCACAGCAUUUGCCAUAGCAGUGGUGAGUUGUGCAUCUGUGACCGGAAGUCUAAACUCUCCACUCUUGCAACUGCACCGUGUUCCUGCUUUGCACUGGACAGCCUUAAAAGAGAUGAGUUCAGCCCGGGGUGUCCAGAGUGGACAUAGCUGUUAGGCUCAGCCAUUUGAGGUUGGGAACCGGCAUGUGAAUGCCUGCCAGGCCACCAGCAGGGUGUUUUCAGGGCAUCUUGAUGGUGGCUUAUAGUUCCAUGUCUUUGGGACAUGGUGCAGUAGUAGAGGGAGAAGGAACCUGGUCUUAGGAUGAGCAGGGCAGUUCCAUACAGAGGAAGCUCAGGUCUUCAGAGUACUGCAUGUUUUUAAUCUCUCAACUCUUGGGGUCACAUUGCGUAUCUGGAAUCCCAGGUCUCCUUUUCAUCUCAAGUUCAACUGAACACAGUAAGGGACAGGCCAAUGCAUUCUGGGGUUUUUUUGUUUGGUUUUGUGUUUAUUUAUUUAUUUUGGUUUUGUUUUUACUGCUGCUGCUGAGACGGGAUUUCGAAUAGACCAGACUGGCCUUGAACUUUGCUGCGUAGCUGAGGGUGAUCUGGAGCAUCUCUUCUGAGCGCAGUGCUGGGUCUUCAGAUACGCCCUACCACAUCCAGUUUAUGCGAUAUUCGUGAUGGGCCCUAGGACCUUUGCGUGCAAGCUGAGCAUUCUGCCAUUGGCACUUAGUCCCCAGCUCCUCCUGGAUGCUAUUGUAUUACACACUGAGUAUUCAACUAAACAUGUGCAGAUGCUGAGACACUCUAUGUUGAAACAUACUCUGCCCAUAUGGCUUUGUGAGUGAAUAUAUGUGCUGCUGACCUCAAGACAAUAGCAUAUCACCCCCUCCCCCCCCCAAUAAUGAUAAACUCUCUUAUUACAAGCCGAGGGUCUUGGUGGCGCAUUUGGUGUGUGUGUGUGUGUGUGUAUUCCUGGGGAUUGAACCCAAGAUCAUGUGCUCAAUAGGUAAGUGUUCUAACAACAAGCCACCCUACACCCUCUCCUCUGGUUUCAAACAGGUC
rnacentral:lncRNA from 1 species